rnacentral:rRNA from 1 species
GAUGAACGCUGGCGGCGUGCCUAAUACAUGCAAGUCGAACGAAGCGGGGACGGGUGAGUAACACGUGGAUAACCUCCUAUAAGACUGGGAUAACUUCGGGAAACCGGUGCUAAACCAGAUACUUAUAGAUGGAUCCGCGGUGCAUUAGCUAGUUGGUAAGGUAACGGAUUACAAAGGCAACGAGGCAUAUCCGACCUGCGAGGUGGAUCGGCCACACUGGAACUGAGAAACGGUCCAGACUCCUACGGGAGGCAGCAGUAGGGAAUCUUCGGCAAUGGGCGAAAGCCUGACGGAGCAACGCCGCGUGAGUGAUGAAGGUCUUCGGAUCGUAAAACUCUGUUAUUAGGGAAGCGGUACCUAAUCAGAAAGCCACGGCUAACUACGUGCCAGCAGCCGCGGUAAUUC